rnacentral:rRNA from 1 species
UAGGGAAUCUUCCACAAUGGACGCAAGUCUGAUGGAGCAACGCCGCGUGAGUGAAGAAGGUCUUCGGAUCGUAAAGCUCUGUUGUUGGUGAAGAAGGAUAGAGGCAGUAACUGGUCUUUAUUUGACGGUAAUCAACCAGAAAGUCACGGCUAACUACGUGCCAGCAGCCGCGGUAAUACGUAGGUGGCAAGCGUUGUCCGGAUUUAUUGGGCGUAAAGCGAGCGCAGGCGGAAUGAUAAGUCUGAUGUGAAAGCCCACGGCUCAACCGUGGAACUGCAUCGGAAACUGUCAUUCUUGAGUGCAGAAGAGGAGAGUGGAACUCCAUGUGUAGCGGUGGAAUGCGUAGAUAUAUGGAAGAACACCAGUGGCGAAGGCGGCUCUCUGGUCUGCAACUGACGCUGAGGCUCGAAAAGCAUGGGUAGCGAACAGGAUUAGAUACCCUGGUAGUCCAUGCCGUAAAACGAUGAGCGCUAGGUGUUGGGGACUUUCCGGUCCUCAGUGCCGCAGCAAACGCAUUAAGCGCUCCGCCUGGGGAGUACGACCGCAAGGUUGAAAC